GGGACACGUGGUAUCCUGUCUGAAUAUGGGGGGACCAUCCUCCAAGGCUAAAUACUCCUGACUGACCGAUAGUGAACCAGUACCGUGAGGGAAAGGCGAAAAGAACCCCGGCGAGGGGAGUGAAAAAGAACCUGAAACCGUGUACGUACAAGCAGUGGGAGCACCCUUCGGGGUGUGACUGCGUACCUUUUGUAUAAUGGGUCAGCGACUUAUAUUCUGUAGCAAGGUUAACCGAAUAGGGGAGCCGGAGGGAAACCGAGUCUUAAUUGGGCGUUAAGUUGCAGGGUAUAGACCCGAAACCCGGUGAUCUAGCCAUGGGCAGGUUGAAGGUUGGGUAACACUAACUGGAGGACCGAACCGACUAAUGUUGAAAAAUUAGCGGAUGACCUGUGGCUGGGGGUGAAAGGCCAAUCAAACCGGGAGAUAGCUGGUUCUCCCCGAAAGCUAUUUAGGUAGCGCCUCGUGAAUUCAUCUCCGGGGGUAGAGCACUGUUUCGGCUAGGGGGCCAUCCCGGCUUACCAACCCGAUGCAAACUGCGAAUACCGGAGAAUGUUAUCACGGGAGACACACGGCGGGUGCUAACGUCCGUCGUGAAGAGGGAAACAACCCAGACCGCCAGCUAAGGUCCCAAAGUCAUGGUUAAGUGGGAAACGAUGUGGGAAGGCCCAGACAGCCAGGAUGUUGGCUUAGAAGCAGCCAUCAUUUAAAGAAAGCGUAAUAGCUCACUGGUCGAGUCGGCCUGCGCGGAAGAUGUAACGGGGCUAAACCAU
rnacentral:rRNA from 1 species